rnacentral:misc_RNA from 1 species
AAGGAGUCUAACAUCUAUGCAAGUGUUUGGGUGUCAAGCUCGAGCGCGUAAUGAAAGUGAACGGAGGUGGGAACCCGCAAGGGUGCACCAUCGACCGAUCCGGAUGUCUUCGGAAGGAUUUGAGUAAGAGCAUGGCUGUUGGGACCCGAAAGAUGGUGAACUAUGCUUGAAUAGGGUGAAGCCAGAGGAAACUCUGGUGGAGGCUCGCAGCGGUUCUGACGUGCAAAUCGAUCGUCAAAUUUGGGCAUAGGGGCGAAAGACUAAUCGAACUAUCUAGUAGCUGGUUCCUGC